rnacentral:rRNA from 1 species
GCUUAACACAUGCAAGUCGAACGGUGAAGCCAAGCUUGCUUGGUGGAUCAGUGGCGAACGGGUGAGUAACACGUGAGCAACCUGCCCUGGACUCUGGGAUAAGCGCUGGAAACGGUGUCUAAUACUGGAUAUGAGCUCUCAUCGCAUGGUGGGGGUUGGAAAGAUUUUUCGGUCUGGGAUGGGCUCGCGGCCUAUCAGCUUGUUGGUGAGGUAAUGGCUCACCAAGGCGUCGACGGGUAGCCGGCCUGAGAGGGUGACCGGCCACACUGGGACUGAGACACGGCCCAGACUCCUACGGGAGGCAGCAGUGGGGAAUAUUGCACAAUGGGCGGAAGCCUGAUGCAGCAACGCCGCGUGAGGGAUGACGGCCUUCGGGUUGUAAACCUCUUUUAGCAGGGAAGAAGCGAGAGUGACGGUACCUGCAGAAAAAGCGCCGGCUAACUACGUGCCAGCAGCCGCGGUAAUACGUAGGGCGCAAGCGUUAUCCGGAAUUAUUGGGCGUAAAGAGCUCGUAGGCGGUUUGUCGCGUCUGCUGUGAAAUCCCGAGGCUCAACCUCGGGCCUGCAGUGGGUACGGGCAGACUAGAGUGCGGUAGGGGAGAUUGGAAUUCCUGGUGUAGCGGUGGAAUGCGCAGAUAUCAGGAGGAACACCGAUGGCGAAGGCAGAUCUCUGGGCCGUAACUGACGCUGAGGAGCGAAAGGGUGGGGAGCAAACAGGCUUAGAUACCCUGGUAGUCCACCCCGUAAACGUUGGGAACUAGUUGUGGGGACCAUUCC